UAUUAGUUUAACAAAAACCUCAUUUUCUACCAACCAAAGGGCUAGGAAUGCUUGCUAUCAGAUAGCAUCUGAGACCUGAACCUGAGAUUUCUCCACCUGGCAGGAACCCUACCUCUCUGGCGUUCCCACCAAUGCAGACAGGCAUCUGCAGAAGCAGGACUAUUCCUUAGUCAGAACAACAGGAGGGCCACGGUUUCUCCUGGGAGUGGAGACUGCAUAGCGGGUGAGAGAACCUGUUGCCUUUGGUACAGCUCUGGGCUGCAUAAUGAUGUUUCCGCCGAGGACUGCAGAAAAGAACACAACAGUGGCCUCAUGGGAGAAGCUAGCUCAGUGACGUCAUAGCUGUCUAACUCACUCUGAGAUGUUCACAUUGCCAUGACUCAUCCUCUGACCACCGUGUGGUGAAGCAAGCCACGACUGAACAUUCAGUCCUAACUGAUAGUAUCUAAGAGAAGAAAUUAGCAGGUUCUGAGGCUUUCAGAACUCACACAUACAAAAGGGCGGAAUAUAAACUCUACAAGAGCAAAAAUGUUGCCUGAUUCAUUCCCUUUGUAAUCUUAGCACCUAGACGCUAGCUGGGGCUACAACUCAGGCCCUUGAACAUGCUGCCAUUUAACUGCAUCCCUGGCCACAUUAAUUUGAUGUUAAAGCACAAAAGCCCUCCUUUUGAAAUCAUGAGUGAACAAGGAGGUCUUCGGUCACUGCUUUUAUCCACCAGAAGAAGUUGACUUACUAUAAAAGGAAAGAAUUGACAGGAAAAUGAGGAUGGGAAAAUCUUAUUACACAUUGUUUUAAAAGUAAAUUAAAUCCCUACCUCAGAUUCUAUGGAGGUG
rnacentral:lncRNA from 1 species